AUAAAAAGGGACACACUCAGCACUGAGGAGGAACGGAGAAUGAAUUACUUCGCUCAAACAAAGUGGCUGUGAGCGUGAGGAUCUGCGGCAAACUAUGCAGGACUGCUUCAUCUACAGAAAUCCAGGUAGCAGCAGGUUAAAAGCAGCAGAAGAGUGUUUCCGGCAGGCCAAGGAGAAGGCUUCCUACAGUGUUAAACCCAAACAUGCCUCUGGCAUCAAAGCCAAGCUUGGCAUGAAGAUUUAAGUCAGUGGACUUGGUAUGUUUUUUUCCCUGACUUUGGACACCAGCAAUGAGUCACAUUCAAUAGAGCAGAAGAUCAAACUAAGAGACAGAUCAUGACUGGCAUAUAUGUGCAGCUGAACCUACACUAGACAUCUUGCUUGGCUUGUUUAUUUCUGUUUGAUGACUUUUGUCUGUCAGCUAUCAGCCUGUUGCCUUACAUGACUCAUGAAAUCAACUCAGUAGUGAAAGAAUGCUGCAGCAGGGCCAUCAGUGACAUGCAGCGUAUUGUAGACAUCAGCUGGAAUAUCAACAUACUGUCUGUGCAGCCUUUAGCUCCACAUUUAUCAGAUAAUUUAAUGCCUUCUUACUAAUGAUUAUACAGCUGAAUGGUGAAGUCGAACAGUAAACUUGUUGCGUUUGAGGGAGAAAAAAGGUUAUCUUUUUACUUUGUCUAUAUCAACUUCCCACAAGCUCAGUAAGAUGUGAUGCUGAUGGAGAACCAGACUGAAGCAACGAUCACAUGACUCAGUAUUCUAAUCGUUUCAGAAAGGAUUCAGACUUUGUGCUCCACUGGGAAAAAAACUUGGCUUUCAAAAGCAAUGUCACAAACUGGAGUGAGUACAUGUAUAUUUAUAGUAACUGCUUAAGAGUUUACCUUGAAGUAUCUCUUCUAAGAUGUAUGAAUUCAAUGAGCAGAAUAGCCAACAGUUCACUCUAUUUCUCCAACCUACAAAGUGAGGUCAGAAAAGGGAACAGAUCUGAAUAUUGUCU